CAGCAUCUAAUGCACUCAUAUAAAAGCUUAAAUAAAGGACUGUAUGAAUAGCCCAUAGCUCAGUAAUCACACAUACUUAUGUAGUCAAAAUUAUGAAAACCUAAUAGUAAAGCCAGGUUGCUGAUAUAAACCUGGAAGCAUAAGAAUGCAAUCAGACGCAUGAUUUUAACAGACAUAGUACGAAGUUCCAGUAGUAGAUCCAACAUAACCGAGAGUGACAUGGUUCGAUAGGACAUAUUACAUCAUUAGGUUCAUAUAUACAGACCAUUAAGGCCCAGUAGAUAGAUUCGGAAGAACCGACAGUGUCAUGGUUGGAUAGGACACAUACUACAUAGGGCUAUAGAUAGCUGGGAGCAACGACUGGCUCUAACGAUGAUAGCGGUGAUCUGAUUGUUCUUGCAGGGCCAUUAGAAGUGAUCUUCAGGUAGAACACGGUAGUCAUCAGAGCAGUAUCCUUCACUGUCAAAGAUCUGUUCAUCAUCAAGGAAGGUCCUCAUCUCUGGGUCGUAUGGUGGAUUUUCAUCGCUUUGGGUUGGCAGGUCCUCAUCUUCAUCAGUUGAUUGCUCCUGGCCAUAGGGAUAGAUACCGGUCUCUUGAAGGUUGACCAUGGCCUCAUCAGUGUACUGUUGAAGGUAUUCGCAACUGGCAUCUACAUUGAGAAGAACGUUGUUGAGCUCCAGGUCAUCUGGAGUAGAUCCUGGAGUCAGCCUGCUGUUAACCAGAUGCUUAAGGUUGUUGACGAUCCUCUGCUCUGUGUCCAGGGAUCCAUCCCAUCCUUUGCUCAGGAGCUUGUUUGUGGUAAUGCUCUCUUUCAGCUUCUAUUUCAGAGAUGCAGCGUUCUUUUCCAUCACCUUAAGCUGCUGACCCAACAGUACAUUUGCCUUUUCCACAUUCAUCAGUUGAUCAUAAUGGUAAUCUUUAGGAACCACACCCUCGUAAGCAUCCAUGUACUUAAUCACUGCAGCAACCACGUAAUCCUGAGCUAUCUCUAGAUCUUGGUGCUCUGAGGUAGACAGGGAAACUUUGUCAGGUGACUUUCCCAGCCUGAUCUUGAUUGGGUAAAAGCUAACAGUGACCUGCAAAUGCGUGUCGUCUUUUGGGGAUGCUGAGUAGGUGGCCGCUGGAAGGCCAACCUUUUCUAACAUAGCGUCAAGCAGGACCUUAGACGAAACUGGAACAGACGCCAUUGCUGGGACCUGCUGCAGGUGAGAAAAAAAUGUCAGUACCAAAAAUAUUUGACCGCAAGUGUAGUACCAUCUGCAGGUCUGUAUGGAUAAGAAGAAGAAGAAAAAACGUUGGAUGACAAAUUGGUUCUACAGUUUGGAUUUCGCCACGAGAAGAGUGGUUUUAAGUAGAUAAGAAUAUUUAAGACCAACUUUCUAUAAUGCAUAAUCUACAGAGGUGAAGGGACGUUGAAAUGAAAGGAUAGUAUUAGGUAGAUCUAUCACAGCAUUGUCUUACAAGAGAGAAGGGAGGUGAAGGCACGAAAGUAAGUUCAACACGUUUUGGAAAGAAAUGUGGUAGGCGAAGCCCCUACAACGGUUUUGUUUUUGAAAGAAUUACACAGAACCAGAAUUUGGGUCCAUGAGGACUUGAACCCAGGUGGCUGAGUUGUACUUCCACUUCCCUAACCAAGUCAGCUAGACUCACUUCUUUAUAGUUGAUUUUGUAGAUAUAAUAAUUUCUUAAAUAUACCUGGUUAAAGUUUGUUAAGAUUGACUUCACGAAAACUAAUAGGAGCAGAGUGAGUACAUGUUAAAGCAAGUUUGUUCAGCUCAGAAAGAGAGCAUAACUUCCUAAGGAAUAUGGUUUAAGAUCAAAUGCUGUCCUGCUUACCUGGAAAAUGAAGUCAUACAAACUGAAUUAUUUUGUAAGGCCCCAUGAACUUCACAGUUUAUGAUUUACUUAGACCACCAACCAUUGAAAUAGCGUGGAAUGAAUAAAAUAUCAUGUCCUAGGUAUACCCCAAAGCGUUGCUGGGCUUUGAAAGAAAUGACAAUGAUUGCUACACACAAAUAAUACUUGCUUUUAUUUUUAUGACGCUAAAAUGAGCGCGAGGGUAAAACGUUAGUCAUGUUGUCCGGCCAGGCUAAACGUGCAGGUCGGCUGAACUAACUAAUCACGACAAUGAAUUUUAGGGCAAAGACUUACUUCUCGACCUACUACCGUAUUGCAGGCAAUGUUUGAUCAAGCCAAUAGAAAUCUGCCUUACAGCAAAAGGAUUACAACGUUCCAGAGCAGCUUAAGACAGUAAUACAGGGGCCAAAUGCUAGCUUUUGUUUUUGACGGGAUAUGAACUGUUGCUGAGAAAAAAAGGUGCAAGCUAAUGUGCAAAAUAUACUCCUAUUUUAAGGCAAGAAUCAUAUUGUGCCACACAGCAUGAAAGACAAUAUCCAGUAGGUAAGUGAAUCAAGUAAUGAAGGAAAAAAGCACCACCAUAAAUCAUUGUAUCUGAAAUUCAGAACCAUACAUUAUGGUAAUACAGAUUAUGUAAAGAUAAAGCAUACGGAAUCGAAAGCAUAGACUCGAGUGCCUCUAGGCGUGUUAUGAACUGGUAGCUCAAAGGCAGUCACACGCCGAAGCAAAGUUGAAAGGAACAGGAAUUUACCAGGCGAGGAAGACUAUGCUGACCGAUGGGAGGAGGGGCGCUGGACAGAUCGGUAGGAAAAGCGUGGAUCUAAAAUAAGGAUGAGGAAAAUGAUAUGAGAAUGGCUCAAGACGGAGUAGAAGAGAAUGGUGCGGAAGAAAUACCGUGGGGAAGAGUCAAUCGGCAUCGGUCUUCGUGGUUUCCACGGUGAGCUUCUCGUCGGUGCCGCCGCUGGCCGGAUCUGAGCGGGCAAUGAGAAGGAGUGUGGGGGAGGGACGGAUAAGACGAGAAGAAGAGAGGAGAAGGAGAGGAUAAGGGCGCCUGGCCUGGUAGGGUACUCCGCGGUGAGAGUUACCGCGUGAACGGGUUACCACCUAUUGAUGCGAUCGGGCCGUAGCUAGGCCGAGUCUGGGCCGCACAGGGUCAUGUGCUCACUGGGCCUGCAAAAAAAAAUAUUCUGCGAGAUGCUUGGUCGUCUAUGAUUUAUUGGAAAGAAGUAUAUUGGUUUAAAAGUUACUAAAUGGGAGCGAUACAUCUUUAUACCAAGGAUUAUCUAGUGGCUUAGGAUGAAUUUUUUUCGAAACCACAUGAUAUUUGUCUUGGAUGUAAGAACGUAGGUGACUUACUUGUGGUAAACCAUAGACGCUAAUUGCCAUGAAGGAAAUCGGGUGCCCACAUAAAGUUAUAUGUUCAGCUGGCCCUACGACAUUUGAUAAGACUGCGGUUGUACGUGUGACAAAGCAGCGGAAGAUGAAAGCUCCUGUCUGCUUUCAUUGACAAGUUACAACAUAAUUAGAAACAUGGAUAAAUAGAUACAAUGCUCUUCUUUAGCGUUUGUGCAAUGCAAUCCUUGAAAGGACAUAUAAAGUACAAAAAGAGCAGAAAAUGUACAUACCUUUGGACCAAAGUAUUUCACCAAAAAAUCAACAGUCAUUUGUGCGAACAUCACUUCUAAAGAGCUCUUUUUCCUAUGCAUAGACCUUUUUGCCGUGCGAACAUACUCAAGGGGAUCAUUGUGCAAGGCUAUAUAAAAUGGACAGAUGAUGUUGCUAAUUUGAUUCCCGGUCUCUACCUUGGUAACAUAUGUCUGUUCAUAGUAGAAAAGAAAAAAAAAUUAAUUAAUUUAUAUUUCCACAAAACUGUGAUGAAGGGCAUGUUAUAAUGUUUGUGUGGCAUUUAAUUGAUAUUUCUUUCAUAUUUGUUCAGAGAAAAAGAAAGUUCUUACUUGUCGGCUGGAGACUGGCCUUGUGUUCACAGGGAGGAUUGAUCGCAAGCAGAUUCUCUUGGUGUUGAUGUUACCUAAUAUUGAAGACAAGAAAGCAAUAUGCCUAAAUUACAUGUCUACAGAGUACACAUUCGUAGUCAAUGUCAGACAUCUCACUUACAGGAUUUCCUAAAGUAGUACCGUGAAAGAGCUGCUGAAGUCACACCAACUAGCAAGUCAUUCAUAGUCUGCAAAAACGAAAAAGAGAAAGACAUAAGUGACCAUUGAAUCAAAUCAAGAAGUCUGUUUUCGGCAGUAUCGAGUUAAUCAUUAGAAAGUUUAAAUGGUUUUAGUUACGCAGUUCAUGACAGUCUUGAUGAGCUUGACAUCGUCGAGCCUGAGGCUCUGGUGCACCAAGCGCUUGCGGCCGCGAGACUGGCCGCUGUCUGGCACAAGCGUGAACAUCGUGCCUGGAUCUCUCAAGAACAAUACGGUCGCAGCAAGCAACACGAUGUCCACCAGCGUGUGCCAUGCUAGCACAAAGUACGACCAAAGCCACGCAAGGCAAUCGCCUGACAAAAGCCGCGGAGGCUGUGGACACCGCUGGUAGAUGGCGCCAGUGCGUUUGGGCGGCGGCGGCAUGGCCGGCUGCCUCGCCGGGUCGGCCGUGCUGCGCGACGACGCCAUGAGGAGAAUGAUGAUCGACAUGCCGUCGCCGAUGGAGUGGUGCAGGCGGAGCACCGUCGUGGAGGCUGCCUCCGAAGUCGGGAAGUCAAGAAAGUGGAACUCCCAGAGAGGACGGCGCCUGUCCAUCGGGAGCAGGGAUGGAGACGCCACGUAGUCCUCCACGGCCUUUUCUGGGUCAGAGUCCACGGAGGCAAGAUCUAGCCUCGGGACGAUGACGUGGUCGUCCACAUUUACCACUAGGGCUGCAAGAAAAGCUCGAGGCUCGUGAGCCGCUCGAAAUCGACUCGUUUUUUGACUCGACUUGGGAUCGACUCGAAAAGAAAUGAGCUAAGUUUGAACACUUUAUGUAGCUCGGCCGAGAAACGAGCCAAUCUUGAGCCAAUGUUGGCUCGCUCGAUUUUAGCUCGAUAGCUCGACAUAAUAUCAUUAUGUUAUACAAUCAGGCCAUAUAUUAAAUGGAAAUAAGAUAAUUAUUACCAUAUAUGUUCUCCAUAAAUUUUCUCCAUUUAAUUUAUAAACAAACAUGGAAACUUAAUUAAGUGCAGAGAAAAUUUAGGCCUAAUUAUGACACGUGGUCGACUAUGUGUUAAAUAUCUUAUAUUUUUUGGCAAAGGUUCCCAGCAUAUUCGCCUUAAGUUUUUUUGUUCUACAUUCAUAGAUAUAUAAAUUUUUACCAUCUCAUUUAGCUCGGAACUAGCUCGAGAUCGACUCGAGAUCGUUACAAGCUGAGCACGAGUCAUGUUCUAUAGCUCGAUCAUGAGCUUCACUCAGUUUGAGCUCGCUUGAAUUUUCAUAUUAGUUGAGCUGAGCCAAUUCCAACUCGCUCGAGCUCGACUCGUUUGCAGCCCUAUUUACCACCGUUUGCACCCAGCGUGGCUUUCCAUCCUUCGACCCAUCCAUCACCUGGACAUCCACGUGUUAAUAAAGUAUUGGACGUUUGAGGUCGAGGCCAGAAUGAGAAGAAUAAAACAUACAACAAUAUUAAUGACAUCAUCGUAUAGUAUGUAAUAUUGUUGGUAUAUAAUAUGGAUGUCUGAAUUUUUAUACAAGCCAACCCACUACUAUUGGAGAUGCCAUUAGGUGUCAAGUCCAACUAAGUUGGUUUAAACAAUUCAAAAAUAAACAAAAAAUUCCAGCCAAACUGGUACUCCGGCCUAUAUGAUAUCAGACACAUAUAUAAAAAUGAAACAAACGAAGUUGUUAAAAUUACUUGAAUGCUGCGGAAGCGUGGGAACCGGGUAAGCAGUUCUGUUUCGAUGCCUGCGCGGAAGACGGGCAGGUUCACCGGCGUGCAAAGCCCCAUCACGACUAUGAUAUAGACACCCAUCUCCUCGAAGACUCUUCCGGUAGGGCUCAUGGGGUCCUCUGCCGUGGAAUUGUCAGCAGAUUCCAUCUCUGCCGACACACGGACAGAGAGCGAACGGCUUGGCGGAGUGGCUACGUUCACUGUUGCUUCCAUGAUUUUCUAAAUACUAGUUUGAUAAUUGCAUUGGUUCCCGUCUACGUCUACGGCGAUAUAUAUAGGGAUGGAUGGAGCGCGAGUUUCCUGAAUGACUAUACUUGGUUGUUAACUAGAUAGGAAAUGCGGCUUGCCGCACCCCGGCAGCAAGCUGCCGGGUAUAUCUAUAUACAACCACCGAAGCAUCCCAAGUAUGAAAAUCCCACAAACAGAAAAAAUUUCACAUAGAGUGGUACUCCUUCAUGAGAAACUUGUAAAUAGAUGGUCAAAACCAGCAUCUAAUGCACUCAUAUAAAAGCUUAAAUAAAGGACUGUAUGAAUAGCCCAUAGCUCAGUAAUCACACAUACUUAUGUAGUCAAAAUUAUGAAAACCUAAUAGUAAAGCCAGGUUGCUGAUAUAAACCUGGAAGCAUAAGAAUGCAAUCAGACGCAUGAUUUUAACAGACAUAGUACGAAGUUCCAGUAGUAGAUCCAACAUAACCGAGAGUGACAUGGUUCGAUAGGACAUAUUACAUCAUUAGGUUCAUAUAUACAGACCAUUAAGGCCCAGUAGAUAGAUUCGGAAGAACCGACAGUGUCAUGGUUGGAUAGGACACAUACUACAUAGGGCUAUAGAUAGCUGGGAGCAACGACUGGCUCUAACGAUGAUAGCGGUGAUCUGAUUGUUCUUGCAGGGCCAUUAGAAGUGAUCUUCAGGUAGAACACGGUAGUCAUCAGAGCAGUAUCCUUCACUGUCAAAGAUCUGUUCAUCAUCAAGGAAGGUCCUCAUCUCUGGGUCGUAUGGUGGAUUUUCAUCGCUUUGGGUUGGCAGGUCCUCAUCUUCAUCAGUUGAUUGCUCCUGGCCAUAGGGAUAGAUACCGGUCUCUUGAAGGUUGACCAUGGCCUCAUCAGUGUACUGUUGAAGGUAUUCGCAACUGGCUCUACAUUGAGAAGAACGUUGUUGAGCUCCAGGUCAUCUGGAGUAGAUCCUGGAGUCAGCCUGCUGUUAACCAGAUGCUUAAGGUUGUUGACGAUCCUCUGCUCUGUGUCCAGGGAUCCAUCCCAUCCUUUGCUCAGGAGCUUGUUUGUGGUAAUGCUCUCUUUCAGCUUCUAUUUCAGAGAUGCAGCGUUCUUUUCCAUCACCUUAAGUUGCUGACCCAACAGUACAUUUGCCUUUUCCACAUUCAUCAGUUGAUCAUAAUGGUAAUCUUUAGGAACCACACCCUCGUAAGCAUCCAUGUACUUAAUCACUGCAGCAACCACGUAAUCCUGAGCUAUCUCUAGAUCUUGGUGCUCUGAGGUAGACAGGGAAACUUUGUCAGGUGACUUUCCCAGCCUGAUCUUGAUUGGGUAAAAGCUAACAGUGACCUGCAAAUGCGUGUCGUCUUUUGGGGAUGCUGAGUAGGUGGCCGCUGGAAGGCCAACCUUUUCUAACAUAGCGUCAAGCAGGACCUUAGACGAAACUGGAACAGACGCCAUUGCUGGGACCUGCUGCAGGUGAGAAAAAAAUGUCAGUACCAAAAAUAUUUGACCGCAAGUGUAGUACCAUCUGCAGGUCUGUAUGGAUAAGAAGAAGAAGAAAAAACGUUGGAUGACAAAUUGGUUCUACAGUUUGGAUUUCGCCACGAGAAGAGUGGUUUUAAGUAGAUAAGAAUAUUUAAGACCAACUUUCUAUAAUGCAUAAUCUACAGAGGUGAAGGGACGUUGAAAUGAAAGGAUAGUAUUAGGUAGAUCUAUCACAGCAUUGUCUUACAAGAGAGAAGGGAGGUGAAGGCACGAAAGUAAGUUCAACACGUUUUGGAAAGAAAUGUGGUAGGCGAAGCCCCUACAACGGUUUUGUUUUUGAAAGAAUUACACAGAACCAGAAUUUGGGUCCAUGAGGACUUGAACCCAGGUGGCUGAGUUGUACUUCCACUUCCCUAACCAAGUCAGCUAGACUCACUUCUUUAUAGUUGAUUUUGUAGAUAUAAUAAUUUCUUAAAUAUACCUGGUUAAAGUUUGUUAAGAUUGACUUCACGAAAACUAAUAGGAGCAGAGUGAGUACAUGUUAAAGCAAGUUUGUUCAGCUCAGAAAGAGAGCAUAACUUCCUAAGGAAUAUGGUUUAAGAUCAAAUGCUGUCCUGCUUACCUGGAAAAUGAAGUCAUACAAACUGAAUUAUUUUGUAAGGCCCCAUGAACUUCACAGUUUAUGAUUUACUUAGACCACCAACCAUUGAAAUAGCGUGGAAUGAAUAAAAUAUCAUGUCCUAGGUAUACCCCAAAGCGUUGCUGGGCUUUGAAAGAAAUGACAAUGAUUGCUACACACAAAUAAUACUUGCUUUUAUUUUUAUGACGCUAAAAUGAGCGCGAGGGUAAAACGUUAGUCAUGUUGUCCGGCCAGGCUAAACGUGCAGGUCGGCUGAACUAACUAAUCACGACAAUGAAUUUUAGGGCAAAGACUUACUUCUCGACCUACUACCGUAUUGCAGGCAAUGUUUGAUCAAGCCAAUAGAAAUCUGCCUUACAGCAAAAGGAUUACAACGUUCCAGAGCAGCUUAAGACAGUAAUACAGGGGCCAAAUGCUAGCUUUUGUUUUUGACGGGAUAUGAACUGUUGCUGAGAAAAAAAGGUGCAAGCUAAUGUGCAAAAUAUACUCCUAUUUUAAGGCAAGAAUCAUAUUGUGCCACACAGCAUGAAAGACAAUAUCCAGUAGGUAAGUGAAUCAAGUAAUGAAGGAAAAAAGCACCACCAUUUAUCAUUGUAUCUGAAAUUCAGAACCAUACAUUAUGGUAAUACAGAUUAUGUAAAGAUAAAGCAUACGGAAUCGAAAGCAUAGACUCGAGUGCCUCUAGGCGUGUUAUGAACUGGUAGCUCAAAGGCAGUCACACGCCGAAGCAAAGUUGAAAGGAACAGGAAUUUACCAGGCGAGGAAGACUAUGCUGACCGAUGAGAGGAGGGGCGCUGGACAGAUCGGUAGGAAAAGCGUGGAUCUAAAAUAAGGAUGAGGAAAAUGAUAUGAGAAUGGCUCAAGACGGAGUAGAAGAGAAUGGUGCGGAAGAAAUACCGUGGGGAAGAGUCAAUCGGCAUCGGUCUUCGUGGUUUCCACGGUGAGCUUCUCGUCGGUGCCGCCGCUGGCCGGAUCUGAGCGGGCAAUGAGAAGGAGUGUGGGGGAGGGACGGAUAAGACGAGAAGAAGAGAGGAGAAGGAGAGGAUAAGGGCGCCUGGCCUGGUAGGGUACUCCGCGGUGAGAGUUACCGCGUGAACGGGUUACCACCUAUUGAUGCGAUCGGGCCGUAGCUAGGCCGAGUCUGGGCCGCACAG
rnacentral:lncRNA from 1 species